rnacentral:lncRNA from 1 species
UCAGUCUAAUUAUUUUGUUAUUAGAAUGCUAAUGCUUUGUUAUCCUAUUUUUCAUAGAUUGGUGUUUAUGUUUGCCUAUGGAAUUUCUCUGUACAGUCACUGGCAUGGAGGAAGGAAGAUAAGCCAGAAGUCACACUGAGCAUAUCUGUGAAGACUUGGGUGUGGACACAUCCAGAGGAAGUAGGUUACUGUGGUUCCAGGGAGAGUACCUUCCAACUUGGAUGUGUUGUAGAAGCUCUGCUGGAUAAGAAUCCCUGCAGAGUAAUCUCAUGGCCUCUCUCCAGAGGAAGCUGCUAUUUCUUUAUCCUGUGA